rnacentral:rRNA from 1 species
GACGAACGCUGGCGGCGUGCCUAAUACAUGCAAGUCGAGCGGACGGAUGGGAGCUUGCUCCCAGACCGUCAGCGGCGGACGGGUGAGUAACACGUGGGCAACCUGCCUGUAAGACUGGGAUAACUCCGGGAAACCGGGGCUAAUACCGGAUAACUCUUUCCCUCCCAUGAGGGAAAGCUGAAAGAUGGCAUCUCGCUAUCACUUACAGAUGGGCCCGCGGCGCAUUAGCUAGUUGGUGAGGUAACGGCUCGCCAAGGCGACGAUGCGUAGCCGACCUGAGAGGGUGAUCGGCCACACUGGGACUGAGACACGGCCCAGACUCCUACGGGAGGCAGCAGUAGGGAAUCUUCCGCAAUGGACGAAAGUCUGACGGAGCAACGCCGCGUGAGUGAUGAAGGUUUUCGGAUCGUAAAACUCUGUUGUCAGGGAAGAACAAGUACCGGAGUAACUGCCGGUACCUUGACGGUACCUGACCAGAAAGCCACGGCUAACUACGUG